GGAGGGGUGGGCGAGCGGACUAAACCACCGGUCUUGAAAACCGGCGAGCCGCAAGGUUCCGCGGGUUCGAAUCCCGCCCCCUCCGCCA
rnacentral:tRNA from 1 species